UGGUGGCAAUCAUCACCUGCAGUAUAUUAGACCAGCGCUCACAACUAGUCCUUGCCAGAUUAUCUGCUAACCCAUGUGGUUCACAGAACCCACCUCUCCAAACUCACCAUACUCGCUUAUGUGGACACUGGUCUCUACUGUACUGCUGCUGUUUGUAAAAAAGCCUCAUUCAUCGUACCAUUCUCAGCUGCCUGCCUCCCUGCAAUUCAGCUUAGUGCUCCGGACUCACCCGGAUCUCUGCCUCUCGCCUUCCCCUCCUGCGAGCAAUGCCUUUGGUCAGCAACAGUUCCCCUCCCCCCAUCAAGCUCCUGCACACAGCAGCAUAGUAACAUAAUACUGUUCAUGUUUACAGCGUUGGCCUUUCUAGUUUCCUAGUCAUUCAGUUCAUGUUUAGUGUUUUUGACUUAGUUCAUAGUCACAGCCUAGUUUAUCUGGUAUCUCUCAUCAUUGUAAAUAAA